GGGCUAAAGGCCUUUAGACUGUCCAGGGGCCAUGCCACCUAACGCUACAGUCACAACCACAGUCUAAAGGCAGUAACAUCUUCUAUUAUUCAUCAUUGCUGUUGUCAUCACUGUGACCAUUUACUGAGUGCCUAAUACAUCUAGAUGCUGUGCCAGAGACAGAGUUCAGCAAAUGGUACCAGUGACUGGUACCAAGAGACACAAGGAGUCUCACUAUGUUCCCAGCCUGGAGAGCAGUGGCCAGCCACAGCGUGAUCACUGCACACAACAGUUCUGAACUCCUGAGCUCCAGCGAUUCUUCUGCCUCAGCCUCCCAUGUAGCUGAGACUACAGAUAAAGAAACCAAGGCUCAAAAGUCAAGUCCAGUCAUAUCUUGCCCAAGGUGGCCAGCCUGCUCCCAGAAAGGAAGGUCCUCAUACAGGAGACAGGAGAGCAGAAAGGAGCUCAUCUGACGAUUGCAGCACGUACAAGAAUGUUCACUGCAAGAUCAGCAAGCACUGGAAGCAGCCAAAUCAGCAGGGGAGUGGACUUGCAAACAAUGACUUAACAACAGCACAACGAAAAUCAACACGACUGCCACACACAACGCAAACGAAGCUCACAAACACGAUGGCCAAUAAAAACACAGAUAAAACAUAUAUUAUGUGCUUUCAUUCAGAGAAGCUCUAAAACAGGCGAAACUAGUCUGUGGUAUUAAGGUCAGGACUGGGGUUACUUCUGGGGAGAAACGAGGGGAAGUGAUUGGAAAGGACAUGAGGAGAUUUCCUGGUUGCUGGCAACAAUGUAUUUCUU